AUGAUGGUCGUCACGCUGGUGCUCCUCCUCGCCACCCUCACCGGUGCUCCGGUGGAGGGUCAGUGGCGUAGGCGGUUCCCGCCGCUGGAUCCCUGUCGUCUUCCUUACCCUCCGCGUCGUUGUAGCGAUCCUUCCCCUUACUUACCCAGACCGCCUCCGACGCCGGUCGACAACUACGACGGGUACAGCAUGUUCGUGUUCGGUGACUCCUUCGCCGACACCGGCAACCUCCCAUACAAUGCCACCAGCCUCCUCGCCUGGUCGCUCAUGCGCCCGUGGCACAUUCCCUACGGCAGUUCCUACGGCAAGGACGACGGAUCCGUCUCCUCGACGCCCCAGGCCACCGGACGAUUCUCCAACUAUAAGGUCCAAACUGAUUUCGUCGCGACGAUUCUUGGGCUCAAGAUGGCGCCCCCGGCGCACCAGGUGCAGGGCGACGCGUCCUGCGACAACACCGGCAUGACGUUCGCCAUGGGGGGCUCCGGCGUCUACUCUGUGCCGGCCGGCGUGCCGACGCUGAGCGCGCAGGUGGACACCUUCGCACAACUCGUCUCCUCCGGCGCCAUCCCGGCCGCGCGUCUCGCCAAGUCCGUCGCGCUCGUCGCCGUCUCCGGCACCGACUACGACCGCGUGGGCAUCGCGCACCCCAAAGCGUUCGGCGACGUGACCGCCUUCAUCCGCAACGUGACCGCCGGGAUCUCCGACAGCGUCGACCGCCUCCUCAAGCUCGGCGUGAAGAAGGUGCUCGUGAACAACCUACCCCCGAUCGGCUGCGCGCCGUCGCAGACCAAGGCAGCGAAGUACGGCGCGUGCGACGACGCCGGCAACAUUGGCGCCGACACCCACAACAAGAUCCUGAAGCAGCUGCUCGGGGACCAGGACAACGUGCUCGUCGUCGACCUCCACGCCGCGUUCAGCGCCAUCGUCCAGGGGUCGACGGGCCAGUUCAAGCACAGGCUCACGCCCUGCUGCGUGGCCGAUAGCUUCUGCGGGGCCACGGACGCCAACGGGGACCUCUACGAGGUGUGCACCACGCCGAGCCUGGGCCUCCCGGGCCCCGAGGAAUACUUCUACUGGGACGACAUGAACCCGACCCAGGCCGGAUGGGCGGCCGUCAUGGAGCAGGUCGAGGGCUCCAUCAAACAGUUCGUCGGUGUGAACUAG
rnacentral:rRNA from 1 species